AGUGAACGCUGGCGGUAGGCCUAACACAUGCAAGUCGAACGGCAGCACAGUAAGAGCUUGCUCUUACGGGUGGCGAGUGGCGGACGGGUGAGGAAUACAUCGGAAUCUACUUUUUCGUGGGGGAUAACGUAGGGAAACUUACGCUAAUACCGCAUACGACCUACGGGUGAAAGCAGGGGAUCUUCGGACCUUGCGCGAUUGAAUGAGCCGAUGUCGGAUUAGCUAGUUGGCGGGGUAAAGGCCCACCAAGGCGACGAUCCGUAGCUGGUCUGAGAGGAUGAACAGCCACACUGGAACUGAGACACGGUCCAGACUCCGACGGGAGGCAGCAGUGGGGAAUAUUGGACAAUGGGCGCAAGCCUGAUCCAGCCAUACCGCGUGGGUGAAGAAGGCCUUCGGGUUGUAAAGCCCUUUUGUUGGGAAAGAAAAGCAGCAGGUUAAUACCCCGCUGUUCUGACGGUACCCAAAGAACAAGCACCGGCUAACUUCGUG
rnacentral:rRNA from 1 species